rnacentral:rRNA from 1 species
GUGAACGCUGGCGGUAGGCCUAACACAUGCAAGUCGAACGGCAGCACAGUAAGAGCUUGCUCUUACGGGUGGCGAGUGGCGGACGGGUGAGGAAUACAUCGGAAUCUACUUUUUCGUGGGGGAUAACGUAGGGAAACUUACGCUAAUACCGCAUACGACCUACGGGUGAAAGCAGGGGAUCUUCGGACCUUGCGCGAUUGAAUGAGCCGAUGUCGGAUUAGCUAGUUGGCGGGGUAAAGGCCCACCAAGGCGACGAUCCGUAGCUGGUCUGAGAGGAUGAUCAGCCACACUGGAACUGAGACACGGUCCAGACUCCUACGGGAGGCAGCAGUGGGGAAUAUUGGACAAUGGGCGCAAGCCUGAUCCAGCCAUACCGCGUGGGUGAAGAAGGCCUUCGGGUUGUAAAGCCCUUUUAUUGGGAAAGAAAAGCAGCAGGUUAAUACCCCGCUGUUCUGACGGUACCCAAAGAAUAAGCACCGGCUAACUUCGUG